AUUAACUCGAUCUGAGCACUUAUUGUUAGUGCUAAUUCAGCAUGUUCGCGCGCGCUUUCUAUGUUUACCUCGCUGGCCGCGCGUGGCGCGCGUUGCGCCACUCGCCACUGCCAGCAGCAGCAAGCAACAGCUGCUGGCGCUGUGUUUACAUACAACAUGACGGACCGUCUCGCGAUUGCAUCAUCCUUGCCAGCCGCGUUGAUCUCCUUGUUUUCGGUGGUUUUAUGACAGAAGAAGUGCCUCAACGGACCCAAAAUCGUGUCAUGGAUGUUUCUAAAAGGAGGUCAUUUUCCUGGGAUAAAGAAGAAUUUUCGUCGGAAUGUUUGGAAUGUCCGAGUCCUUUUGAUGAUGACAUGAGCUUUGAUCUGAUAUCGGACACUCGCAGUUGGAUGGUUUGGCUUGGCAACACUCUCAACAAAUUCGAUCUUGCAUGAGCAACAAGGGCAUCCUGAGAAGCUGCCAAAGAUUGUUCUUCUGCAUCGUUUGCAUAAUGUGAGAAGCAGAGCCAGGAAGAGCAAGAAAAUGAAAAAACAACUCAAUUCACCAGUCACUCAAGCCCCUUAGUGUUUUUAGCCGCCAUCAUUUUGGAUAUUAUGUACUAUUUGAAUGGGGUUUGCGGGGCCAAAACAGCUGCUGCACGAUACGAUAACGUGAUAAUUUAAUUUUAUAUACACUGCAAAUCAGGGGUGAGAAAAUGUCACUGCGCUGCAGUUAGAAAAUCUCAACCCGCCGCAUGUCACUGCUGCGCGGUGCGAAAAACUCACCUUUGACACCCCCAGGUAUAGUGACCUACGGCGGGGUGAGAUUUUCUCACUGCAGCACAGUGACAUUUUCUCACCCCUGACUUGCAGUGUAAGUGUAUACUUUUGUGCCUGAAAUUAAUUUAGCAGCUCUCAAUUGAAAAUUAAUAUCCAUCAUGUCAUUGUAAAUUGUAUAAAGAAAUCACAUGAAUUAUUAUCAUGGGAAUUUUAACAAAUAAUUAUGUAUUGAAUAGUAAUGUAAUUGCUAUUAAAUGGCUUUUUAGCGGGUGCCACUAAUUUAAAAAUUUAUUUAUGUAUUAUAACUCUCGUCUUUGGGGUUAAUUGCUGUAAUUACUUUUAGAGUGGCUCGAAGAGUCAACUGCCAGAUUUGCCUCUUUUGUCUUGGGCUACUGUUGGGACUCUCGCGUGGGUGUUCCCGUAAUUUAAAUUGAACUCCUUUGGCCGGUCUGCGGCACCCAGAGCUGGACACUCGCCUGGUUCGCUCUCGUGUGCGAAAUAAGGUGGUGUUCCGAAAUCUGCAACUGUCAGACGGACAGUAUUAUAAAUAUGGAGGUUUACGUUUUUUAGAUUGUUUUACAUCAAACAACUUACUUAUUUCUAGUGGAAUCUCAAAUAAUCAAUACGACUUCCAUCUAUUUUUACACUCGAGCUUAUGUUAUAAGACGACUAUCACCCGCGUCGUAUUGCGUAUUGAUUGUUUGAGAUCCCCACUGGAAAUAUGCAAGUUCAACUCAAACAAUCUAAUAAACAUCAGUCUUCGUAUUUUGACCCUGUCGGUUAAGACAAUUACGGAGUUCGGGGAUGCCGCAUCUCGGCCACGAUAGUCCGGCACUGAGUGCCAAAGACCGGUUAAAGGAGUUAAGAGUUUAGUUCAAGUCAUAUUUCGGGAACUCCCACGCAAGAAACAAAACAGAACAGGCAAAUCUGUCAGAUGGCUCUUUCGAGCCACUCCAGACAGUCGUGAAAUAAAGCAAAUAACACCUAGACGAGCGUUAUAUAAUAAAUUCUUAAUGGGAAAUGUACCAGAACAUUUUGUAAUGUGUGCUCUUUGAUUAAAGAAAUAAAUUCCAAUUAAUAGAA